AUUGAACGCUGGCGGCAGGCUUAACACAUGCAAGUCGAGCGGGGUGAUGGUGCUUGCACUAUCACUUAGCGGCGGACGGGUGAGUAAUGCUUAGGAAUCUGCCUAUUAGUGGGGGACAACAUCUCGAAAGGGAUGCUAAUACCGCAUACGUCCUACGGGAGAAAGCAGGGGAUCACUUGUGACCUUGCGCUAAUAGAUGAGCCUAAGUCGGAUUAGCUAGUUGGUGGGGUAAAGGCCUACCAAGGCGACGAUCUGUAGCGGGUCUGAGAGGAUGAUCCGCCAAACUGGGACUGAGACACGGCCAAGACUCCUACGGGAGGCAGCAGUGGGGAAUAUUGGACAAUGGGGGGAACCCUGAUCCAGCCAUGCCGCGUGUGUGAAGAAGGCCUUAUGGUUGUAAAGCACCUUAAGCGAGGAGGAGGCUCUUUUGGUUAAUACCCAAGAUGAGUGGACGUUACUCGCAGAAUAAGCACCGGCUAACUCUGUGCCAGCCGCCGCAGUAAUAC
rnacentral:rRNA from 1 species